CCCUACUCCCCCGUCGGCUCGGUCCUGCCAGCCCCUGCACCAGCGCACGCCCCGACGGCUGGCAACCCAUGGGAGACGCCGGCGCUCCAGCAUGCCCUCCUCUCGAUGCAGCAGCAACCCUACUCGGGGGGAGGCGAUUGGUUCCUUGACACAGGCGCAUCUUCACACAUGGCUGCCCAUCCCGGAUCUGCAUUCCGGGACGGUGGUGCUCCGAUGUGACAGCCCCGACGAGCUCUACCCGCUUCGCAUCGCGCCUCACACCACCGCGACUGCCCUCCUCGCCGACACAACCAGCUCCACGCUCUGGCAUGCCCGCCUCGGCCAUCCCGGGCACGCCGCUUUAUCUAGGGUUUUAGCUACCUUUCCUUUCAAAUGUAAUAAAGUGCACGAACACUCAUGCCAUGCUUGUCAGCUAGGAAAACAUACUCGACUUCCUUUUCCGGAAUCCUCCCAUGUUGCUCCCUCUCCCUUUCAUACAUUGCAUUGUGACGUCUGGACAUCUCCGGUUGUGAGUAAUUCAGGUUUUUCUUUCUUU